UGCUGGUCGAGUCCGGCGCAUGCCAGAGAUGUGAAUACUUUGGGGGAAAAUAUCGUUCUUACUGUCUUGAUAGUUACUAUAUAACUCAAUCAACUUAUUUUCUAGUUCAUGUUUUCCUUUCUGGAGAACUCACUGAAGAGAGAAACCUUGGCAGCCGUGAUGGUUUUCCCACCGUGGACUGCGUCGAAUAGCAGCCCUGGAGUCAUGCCGUGCAGAACCAACUGAGAGCUUCUCCAUCCUCUAGCAAAUAGCAGCUGUGGGGAGCCGCCCUCACAUUCGCCUUACAAGAUGGUGCUGACAUCCU
rnacentral:lncRNA from 1 species